rnacentral:rRNA from 1 species
AUUGAACGCUGGCGGCAGGCCUAAAACAUGCAAGCAGAGCGGAGCGGCGGACGGGUGAGUAAUGCCAAGGAAUCUGCCUGGUAGCGGGGGACAACGUUCGGAACCGGGAGCUAAUCCCGAAUCCCAUCAGAUGAGCCUAGGUCGGGUUACCUAGCUGGUGGGGUAAAGGCCUACCAAGGCAACGAUCCGUAACUGGUCUGAGAGGAUGAUCCGUCAAACUGGAACUGAGCCACGGUCCAGACUCCUACGUGAGGCAGCAGUGGGGAAUAUUGGACAAUGGGCGAAAGCCUGGUCCAGCCAUGCCGCGUGUGUGAAGAAGGUCUUCGGAGUGUAAAGCACUUUAAGUUGUGAGGCGUUACCAACAGAAUAAGCACCGGCUAACGUCGUGCCAGCAGCCGCGGUAAUUC